rnacentral:tRNA from 1 species
CGUUCUAUGGCCGAACUGGUGAAGUAUCGCCGAUUACAGGCGAAGAUGUGGGUUCGAGUCCCCCUGGAACGG